GACGAACGCUGGCGGCGUGCCUAAUACAUGCAAGUCGAGCGAAGCGGCGGAUGGGUGCGUAACGCUUGGGUAACCUGCCCUUUAGUCUGGGAUACCAUUUGGAAACAGAUACUAAUCCCAGAUCCUACAGGAUGGACCUGCUGUGCAUUAGCUAGUUGGUAAGGUAACGGCUUACCAAGGCGAUGAAGCAUAGCCGAGUUGAGAGACGGAUCGGCCACAUUGGGACUGAGACACGGCCCAAACUCCUACGGGAGGCAGCAGUAGGGAAUCUUCCACAAUGGACGAAAGUCUGAUGGAGCAACGCCGCGUGAGUGAAGAAGGUUUUCGGAUCGUAAAGCUCUGUUGUUGGUGAAGCGGUAAUCAACCAGAAAGUCACGGCUAACUACGUGCCAGCAGCCGCGGUAAUAC
rnacentral:rRNA from 1 species